AACGAACGCUGGCGGCAUGCCUAACACAUGCAAGUCGAACGAUUGCCUUCGGGUGAUAGUGGCGCACGGGUGCGUAACGCGUGGGAAUCUGCCCUUAGGUUCGGCAUAACAGCUGGAAACGGCUGCUAAUACCGGAUGAUAUCGCGAGAUCAAAGAUUUAUCGCCUGAGGAUGAGCCCGCGUUGGAUUUGGUAGUUGGUGGGGUAAAGGCCUACCAAGCCGACGAUCCAUAGCUGGUCUGAGAGGAUGAUCAGCCACACUGGGACUGAGACACGGCCCAGACUCCUACGGGAGGCAGCAGUGGGGAAUAUUGGACAAUGGGCGCAAGCCUGAUCCAGCAAUGCCGCGUGAGUGAUGAAGGCCCUAGGGUUGUAAAGCUCUUUUAGCCGGGAAGAUAAUGACUGUACCGGGAGAAUAAGCCCCGGCUAACUCCGUG
rnacentral:rRNA from 1 species